rnacentral:rRNA from 1 species
GACGAACGCUGGCGGCGUGCCUAAUACAUGCAAGUCGAGCGAAUGGAUGGGAGCUUGCUCCCUGAAGUUAGCGGCGGACGGGUGAGUAACACGUGGGCAACCUGCCUGUAAGACUGGGAUAACUUCGGGAAACCGGAGCUAAUACCGGAUACAUUCUUUCUUCGCCGGAAGAAAGAUGGAAAGAUGGUUUCGGCUAUCACUUACAGAUGGGCCCGCGGCGCAUUAGCUAGUUGGUGAGGUAACGGCUCACCAAGGCAACGAUGCGUAGCCGACCUGAGAGGAUGAUCGGCCACACUGGGACUGAGACACGGCCCAGACUCCUACGGGAGGCAGCAGUAGGGAAUCUUCCGCAAUGGACGAAAGUCUGACGGGGCAACGCCGCGUGAGCGAAGAAGGCCUUCGGGUCGUAAAGCUCUGUUGUUAGGGAAGAACAAGUACCAGAGUAACUGCUGGUACCUUGACGGUACCUAACCAGAAAGCCACGGCUAACUACGUGCCAGCAGCCGCCGUAAAAC